rnacentral:lncRNA from 1 species
GGGUGGCGCCGAUGCCGCCGCCGACGUCGACGAGCCGGUUGACGUCGUCGAAGCCGCGGUAGAUGUCGAGGAGCUUCUUGGUGAUGAUGAUGGAGUGGUUCUUCAUGCCGUCGUUGAACACCGCGUUGAAGCGGGGGUCGGUGCCGUGGUACUCGAACGCCGUCAUGCCGUACGCCCUGUUGAAGGGGAUGCCACCGUCCAACACCGCAUCCUUCAAGUAGUACCUGCCAUCAGAUCAUGCAUAUCUCGGGUUAAAUUAUAGUGAUAUAUAAUAGAUUUUAGACUAAUGAACCGAUCUAAAUUAGGUAUCAUAGACUACUUAAGCUCUUAUCUUAACAUCUUCUAAAUCGAUCACUUCAUGUAGCGCCGCCAUGCUACAUACUAAUUGUAAGAUGCGAAGCUAAAGACUGGAUUACCAGCUCUCCAUGAGGACCUUGUCCUGGUUCAUCAAAGCUAAAGCAGCCAUGGACACACCGUCCUCGUUCUUGGUCAGGUACUUGCACACCGGGGCCGCGCCGUACGUCCUCGACGGCCUCCCCUCGGCGUCGGCCUCGACGGUGCAGCUGACGACGUUGUAGGCGGCCAGAAGGCGGAGCAUGCGGUCCACCAUGACGGCCGCGUGCGGGUUCUUGGUGGGCAGCC